GGGUAAGCGCUGUACGACCAGCUCCUGCCUACAACCCCAGGAUUGGAAGAUAGCAAGGUUGAGGUGGUUGAGCGGUGCGAUGCAGUUAGCUUACCUUUU
rnacentral:SRP_RNA from 1 species